GUGGCGUGUGUGGCGUGGGUGUGUGGGCUCAUGGCAAUAGCUAGGUUGUGGCGCGCCCAACGGAUUCGCGCGGGACGUGCGGGACGCACUGGUGCAGUCGGGCUCGUCGGGCGUGACGGAUGCGCGCGGGACGUGCGGGGCGCAAUGGGAACGUGGCGUGUGUGGCGUGGGUGUGUGGGCUCAUGGCAAUAGCUAGGCUGUGGCGUACGUGUGUGUCGCUGGGCAGGCGUAAGAGCCAGUGCUUUCGGCUAGCCAUGCGUGGUUGUUAGUGCAUGGUGGAGUUAGUUUGCAUGGCCGAACGUGGAGGCCGUUAGCGAGGGUGCGUGCGUGGGCGCUGCGUCGCCGCCGAGGGCUAUUAAGCCGGCUGUAAUCAUGUUUGUAGUGAGGCAGUUGGAGCUGAGUAAAA
rnacentral:lncRNA from 1 species